AUGCCUUUUUUCCGUGCAGGAUUUUUUUCUUUUUAUAGGUUUUAUUUUAUUAUUUUAUUUGUUAAGUCUAUUUGGGGUUUUCUGUCGUAUUUAGAGAAGCCCUUCCUACUUCAAAAUUAUUUUUUAAAUCUCUCCCAUAUUUACUUCUGCAUUUAUAUGGUUUCUCUUUUUUUUAACAUAAAAAUCAUGUUACAUUUAAAUCGUUUUUUUUUUUUUCUAUAUGGCAUUUAUUCUGGAAAAGAUGUGAAGCAGUGGAGGAGGAGAUUGACUUUCACAGUAAUUUCUGUCCUAUUUAUUGAUGCUGAGCAGGCAGGCCUGGGCCCUGGUCCUGGACCGGUGACCAUCCCAUGCCAGACUUGGCAGGCACGUGCCUCUCUGAGCUCCACUGUCUUCACCUGUGAAGUGAGACUGCCAGGCGGGGUGAUUGCCAAGGUCCUUGCCCUCAGACCAUCGAGGAGUCUGUUGAGGACGCUCUCUCCCUUUCUCUCUGGACUCGGAGAACUGAGUUGUAAACCAAUUUGUGUGGAGCCUGGGAAUGAGGACCCCAUGGACAUGCAGACAGGAAAAUACCGGCUGAACCCACUCCCACCACAGAGUGAGAAACACAGGCGGGCAGGAUUUUCCAUUUCACGGUGUGUUCACGGAUGUCAGCUCACUUCAUUCUUACGGCGGUAAGACUUCAGCCUGGCACUACCCCGGCUCCAGGGACGGCCAGACUGGGAGCCAGGGUACAAUACUCAGAGAUGGGAGGAACAGCAAAGCCUGGGUUCCUGUUGUCCUUAAGACCGGUCCCUCCUCUGCUUCUCCCUGUGAGUCAAGAACAUUCCCGUAUAUUCCUUAAGACAGCAUGAGAUUCCUGUCUCCUGCAAUGCAAGAGUCCUAACGAAUAAACUUCUCACCUUUAGUUAACUUAAUCACGUUGUCAUUUUUGUCCAUUUGUAGGUUAUUCUUUCUAGAACAAGUGGAGGAGGUAAAGAAGCGUGGCAGGGAGGAGAGAAGCAAAGAAGGAAAGACACAUUGUGUCAGCAGAGUUGUAACGAACAUGAGUGCCUGUUAUUGAGCUGCCACAGCCUCUCCUCUGCCCCACAGCCCCCACAGACUUCACUGAGGUCAGGUAGCCCUGCCCUCCUGACGGGCGAUCCCCCCGGGCAGCAUCAGGAUGGGAGCAGUGUCGAACAGAGAACGACUUUGGUUUAUCACAAAGCCUCCAUGCUAGGUGUCUGUGGGGAUGGCAAACUUGGUGGUUCAUAAAACCCCGAGUCUUUGGGUGGGUGGCCUUCUGACUCCAAUUGGUGCUUGUGGGAUGCCAGGGUCAUUUCCGGGCUCAAGUAAAGCAGAGGCAUUGGAUCUUCUUGUUACUCUGGGGAUUUAGAUGAAUAACUGGUGGAACCUGAGUGCAUUAAUCUUCCUCUAUCGGAAAAGAACUUUUCCCUUUGUAGUUGAAGAGAGCCUGACUAAAGCUUACUAAUGACUGGGAUUAGCAAUGUCCAUUAGUAAUUUUUCAAGUUACUUGAGCAAGAAAAAAAAUAGUGACUGCAGAAGCCAAGACUCAGAACCAUCAGCUGAUGUUAGUCACUUACUUUGACAGGCAUAAUUCAGAUUCAAUUUAUUUAUGGUUAAAUUCCCACAGCACUGUAACCAGAUAACUCUGGGCUGAGGGUAUGGGCUGAGGAGUAAGGAAAAAAAAAACCUACUUUCCUUUUGGUGUGCUCUUACCUCUUCCUCAUUGUUUUGACCCUGGUAUCUCUUUCCAUUUUAAAAGUCAGGUUCACAAAAUGGGCCGGGUGCAGUGGCUCACGACUGUAAUUCCAGCACUUUGGGAGGAUGAGAUGGGCAGAUCACUUGAGGUCAGGAGUUCGAGAUCAGCCUGGCCAACAUGGGGGAAAGCCCACCUCUACUAAAAAUACAAUAAUUAGCCGGGUGUGGUGGCGAGUGCCUGUGAUCCCAGCUACUCAGGAGGGUGAGGGAGGAGAAUCGCUUGAACCCGAGGGGCAGAAGCUUCAGUGAGCUGAGAUGGCAUUGCUGUACUCCAGCCUGGGGGACAGAGCAAGACUCCGUCUUAAAAACAAACAGACAAAACAGAUUAGCAGAAUGGUCGAUCCUAGGACUACAUGAAAUUGCAAAGUAUCCUAUCUUGUGUUCACUUCUACCAUUUUACUUUUAUUGAGAGUGAGGGGGAGAAUGUCACAGAAUACAAACACCAGCAUUAUAAUCUUCCAUUGGGAAGAUCCAUGUGUACUCGAACGAUUUUCCCAAUGUUCAAAAUAUUUUAGAACUUCUUUUUUUUUUUUUUUUUUUUUGAGAUGGAGUCUCGCUCUGUCGCCCAGGCUAGAGUGCAGUGGCGCGAUCUCGGCUCACUGCAAGUUCUGCCUCCUGGAUUCACGCCAUUCUCCUGCCUCAGCCUCCCGAGUAGCUGGGACUACAGGUGCCCACCACCAUGCCCAGCUAAUUUUUUGUAUUUUUAGUAGAGACGGGGUUUCACCAUGUUAGCCGGGAUGGUCUCGACAUCCUGACCUCGUGAUCUGCCCACCUUGGCUUCCCAAAGUGCUGGGAUUACAGGUGUGAGCCACCGCGCCUGGCCUAGAACUUCUUUUAAAAAAAAUGUAGCACCAGUUUGUAAAAUGAAUAAUAGCAAAUAUGUCCAUUUCAAUAAACUUGUGGUGGAAUAUUUGCAAAGAAGUUUAGCAAAAUCACCAGUAUAGAAG
rnacentral:lncRNA from 1 species